rnacentral:rRNA from 1 species
CCGGAUAAGUCUUUACGGAGAAAGCUUUAUGCACCAUUGGAUGAGCCUGCACUUGAUUAGUUUGUUGGUAGGGUAAUGGCCUACCAAGACUUUGAUCAAUAGCUGAUUUGAGAGGAUGAUCAGCCACAUUGGGACUGAGACACGGCCCAAACUCCUACGGGAGGCAGCAGUGGGGAAUCUUGCACAAUGGAGGAAACUCUGAUGCAGCGAUGCCGCGUGAGUGAAGAAGGCCCUUGGGUUGUAAAGCUCUUUCGUCGGGGAAGAAAAUGACUGUACCCGAAUAAGAAGGUCCGGCUAACUUCGUGCCAGCAGCCGCGGUAAUACGAAGGGACCUAGCGUAGUUCGGAAUUACUGGGCUUAAAGAGUUCGUAGGUGGUUGAAAAAGUUGGUGGUGAAAUCCCAGAGCUUAACUCUGGAACUGCCAUCAAAACUUUUCAGCUAGAGUUUGAUAGAGGAAAGCAGAAUUUCUAGUGUAGAGGUGAAAUUCGUAGAUAUUAGAAAGAAUACCAAUUGCGAAGGCAGCUUUCUGGAUCAUUACUGACACUGAGGAACGAAAGCAUGGGUAGCGAAGAGGAUUAGAUACCCUCGUAGUCCAUGCCGUAAACGAUGUGUGUUAGACGUUGGAAAUUUAUUUUCAGUGUCGCAGCGAAAGCGAUAAACACACCGCCUGGGGAGUACGACCGCAAGGUUAAAACUCAAAUGAAUUGACGGGGACCCGCACAAGUAGUGGAGCAUGUGGUUUAAUUCGAAGAUACGCGCAGAACCUUACCAACACUUGACAUGUUCGUCGCGACUUUAAGAGAUUAAAGUUUUCGGUUCGGCCGGACGAAACACAGGUGCUGCAUGGCUGUCGUCAGCUCGUGUCGUGAGAUGU